CUAGCGUUUUUGAAGUAUUUAGAAAAUAAAUUUUGCGAUUUUUCGAUAUUAUUCACCUACCUAUCAAAAGGAUUCAAAAUCAGUAAUUUUUAAUGGUUGAUAUAUAUCAUUUGCAAGUUUAACGGUGCAGAAAUAUUCAAGUCAGAUAAAAUUUUGAUAGAAAAUUCUUUAUACUAUUUACUGUAAGAUCAAUAUCUCCGAUUGAAUAUUUUAGUGCUAUAUCACCACUUUUUGUGAGAUUUUUAUUUUCAGCUGAUUUUGAACCCUUUCGAUCGUUAUGUAAAUUAUAUCGAAAAAUCGUAAAAUUUAUUUUCUAGAUACUUCAAAUACACUAGAUCAAGUCUAACGGAGCCGAUCAUUGAUUCGAAAGCUCUAUCAUCGAAAACGUCUUAGGAGCACGAAGGCCUCCGUGCUCCUAAUAGCACAUAAGACCUACAAUAUAGAGAGAGAAAGAGAGAGAGUUGAGCUAGAAACUCCCAAAAGCACCAAGGGUAGAUGCUUUUGGGUUUGUAGCCCUUGGAUGGAGUGAUGUAAGGGUAGGAUAAUGGUGGCAGGUGGUGAUAGGUGAAAUAGUGUUUGAUCCAUAGGCUAUUAGUAGUCAAAAGGGAGAUCUAAGAGUUAGAGUUGGUGCUUCUAGGUGUAUUCUAGCUCAAUUAUAUAUAUACAUAUAUAUAUAUAGAGCAGGGCUGCUGUUCUCUCAGGAGCACGGAGACCUCCAUGCUCCUGAGUCGUUUUCGAUGAUGGAAUUUUCAAAUUAACGAUCGGCUCCGUUAGACUUGAUCUAGGGUAUUUAAAGUUUCUAGAAAGUAAUUUUUGCGAUUUUUCGAUAUCAUUUACCCAGUGAUCGAAAGGAUUCAAAAUCCAUAAUUUUUAAUGGUUGAUAUCUGUCGUUUUCAAGUUUAACGGUAUAGAAGUAUUCAAAUCAGAUGAAAUUUUGAUACAAAAUUCUUUAUACUGUCUACAACAAGAUCAAUAGUUUUGAUCGAAAAUUUUAGUACUAUAUUGCCACUUUUUAUAGGAUUUUUAUUUUCAGCCGUUAAAAAUGAUUGAUUUUGAAUCCAUUCGAUUGCUAAGUAAAUGAUAUCAAAAAAUCGUAAAAUUUAUUUUCUAGAUACUUCAAAUACGCUAGAUCAAGUCUAACGGAGCCGAUCGUCAAUUCGAAAAUUCUAACAUCGAAAACGGCUUAGGAGCACGGAGGCCUUCGUGCUCCUGAGCCGUUUUCGAUGAUAGAAUUUUCGAAUUGAUGAUCGGCUCCAUUAGACUUGAUCUAGGGUAUUUGAAGUUGCUAGAAAAUAAUUUUUGCGAUUUUUCGAUAUCAUUUACCCAGUGAUCGAAAGGAUUCAAAAUCCAUAAUUUUUAAUGGUUGAUAUCUGUCGUUUUCAAGUUUAACGGUAUAGAAGUAUUCAAAUCAGAUGAAAUUUUGAUACAAAAUUCUUUAUACUGUCUACAACAAGAUCAAUAGUUUUGAUCGAAAAUUUUAGUACUAUAUUGCCACUUUUUAUAGGAUUUUUAUUUUCAGCCGUUAAAAAUGAUUGAUUUUGAAUCCAUUCGAUUGCUAAGUAAAUGAUAUCAAAAAAUCGUAAAAUUUAUUUUCUAGAUACUUCAAAUACGCUAGAUCAAGUCUAACGGAGCCGAUCGUCAAUUCGAAAAUUCUAUCAUCGAAAACGGCUCAAGAGCACGGAGGCCGUGCUCCUGAGCCAUUUUCGAUGAUGGAAUUUUCAAAUUAACGAUCGGCUCCCUUAGGCUUGAUCUAGGGUAUUUAAAGUUUCUAGAAAAUAAUUUUUGCGAUUUUUUAAUAUCAUUUACCUAGUGAUCGAAAGGAUUCAAAAUCCAUAAUUUUUAAUGGUUGAUAUCUGUCGUUUUCAAGUUUAACGGUAUAGAAGUAUUCAAAUCAGAUGAAAUUUUGAUACAAAAUUCUUUAUACUAUCUACAACAAGAUCAAUAUUUCUGAUCGAAAAUUUUAGUAUUAUAUCACCACUUUUUAUAGGAUUUUUAUUUUCAACCAUUAAAAAUUAUUAAUUUUGAUUCCUUUCUAUUGCUAGGUAAAUGAUAUCGAAAAAUCGCAAAAAUUAUUUUCUAGAAACUUCAAAUACGCUAGAUCAAGUCUAACGGAGCCGAUCGUCGAUUCGAAAAUUCUAUAAUCGAAAA
rnacentral:lncRNA from 1 species